rnacentral:rRNA from 1 species
UACGUAGGGGGCAAGCGUUGUCCGGAUUUACUGGGCGUAAAGGGCGCGUAGGCGGCCAACUAAGUCAGACGUGAAAUCCCUCGGCUCAACCGGGGAACUGCGUCUGAUACUGGAUGGCUUGAAUUCGGGAGAGGGAUGCGGAAUUCCAGGUGUAGCGGUGAAAUGCGUAGAUAUCUGGAGGAACACCGGUGGCGAAGGCGGCAUCCUGGACCGAGAUUGACGCUGAUGCGCGAAAGCCAGGGGAGCAAACGGG